rnacentral:lncRNA from 1 species
AACUUCUGCAAAAGGCUUGGUCAUAAGGAGAAAUUCUGCAGGUAGAAACAGAAGCAAGAAGGAUGCAACCAAAGCAGGAACUACAGCAUGCAAAUGUCACCGAGGUGUCCAGUGAGCAACGUGCUACAAUUCUCGUUGCAUCAAGUGAGCCGUCAGUGGAGGAUGAUACUCUCUUGGUGGUGGACAGUGAGUGCACCUCCCACAUGUGUAAGGAUGAGGCCUUGUUUGCAUAAU